rnacentral:tRNA from 1 species
GCCUUUGUGGUGUAGUGGUCAGCACGCUCCACACGUAACCAGCAGGUCAGUGGUUCGAUUCCCGACAAAGGCG